rnacentral:rRNA from 1 species
UGUGCCAGCAGCCGCGGUAAUACGUAGGGUGCAAGCGUUAAUCGGAAUUACUGGGCGUAAAGCGAGUGCAGGCGGUUUGUUAAGCUAGAUGUGGAAGCCCCGGGCUCAACCUGGGAAUUGCGUUUAGAACUGGCAAGCUAGAGUGUGUCAGAGGGGGGUAGAAUUCCACGUGUAGCAGUGAAAUGCGUAGAGAUGUGGAGGAAUACCGAUGGCGAAGGCAGCCCCCUGGGAUAACACUGACGCUCAUACUCGAAAGCGUGGGUAGCAAACAGGAUUAGAUACCCUGGUAGUCCACGCCCUAAACGAUGACAAUUAGCUGUUGGGGAAUUAAAAGUCCUUGGUAGCGUAGCUAACGCGUGAAAUUGUCCGCCUGGGGAGUACGGUCGCAAGAUUAAAACUCAAAGGAAUUGACGGGGACCCGCACAAGCGGUGGAUGAUGUGGAUUAAUUCGAUGCAACGCGAAGAACCUUACCUAGCCUUGACAUGUACGGAAGUCCGAUGAAAGUUGGAUGUGCCUUCGGGAACCGUAACACAGGUGCUGCAUGGCUGUCGUCAGCUCGUGUCGUGAGAUGUUGGGUUAAGUCCCGCAACGAGCGCAACCCUUGUCAUUAGUUGCCAUCAUUUAGUUGGGCACUCUAAUGAGACUGCCGGUGACAAACCGGAGGAAGGUGGGGAUGACGUCAAGUCCUCAUGGCCCUUAUGGCUAGGGCUUCACACGUCAUACAAUGGUCGGUACAGAGGGUAGCCAAACCGCGAGGUGGAGCCAAUCUCUUAAAGCCGAUCGUAGUCCGGAUCGCACUCUGCAACUCGAGUGCGUGAAGUCGGAAUCGCUAGUAAUCGCGGAUCAGAAUGCCGCGGUGAAUACGUUCCCGGGUCUUGUACACACCGCCCGUCACACCAUGGGAGUGGGGGAUACCAGAAGUGGGUAGGAUAACCGUAAGGAAUCCGCUUACCACGGUAUGCUUCAUGACUGGGGUGAAGUCGUAACAAGGUAACCG